UGUGAACCUGCGGAAGGAUCAUU
rnacentral:ncRNA from 2 species